UACGGAGGGUGCAAGCGUUGCUCGGAUUUAUUGGGCGUAAAGGGUAGGUAGGUGGUCUUAUUUGUCUAGGGUGAAAUCCUUGAGCUUAACUCAAGGAGUGCCCUAGAAACGGUAAGACUAGAGUCCUGGAGAGGGUCGUGGAAUUCCUGGUGUAGCGGUGAAAUGCGCAGAUAUCAGGAGGAACACCGGUGGCGAAGGCGGGUCUCUGGGCCGAUAUCGACGCUGAGGAGCGAAAGCGUGGGGAGCGAACAGG
rnacentral:rRNA from 1 species